CUGCUCAAUGCUUUUAGUAAAUGCCCGCAGUAUUUUGACUGUGCUAAGGUAGCAUAAUCAUUAGUCUUUUAAUUGGAGGCUGGUAUGAAUGGUAAGACGAGAAAGAAACUGUCUCCUAGUAAGUAACGAAAUUCAUUUUUUAGUGAAAAAGCUAAAAUAAUUCUAAGGGACGAUCAGACCCUAUGGAGCUUUUUUGUUGGGGCGACAGAGAGAAAAAAGUAACCCUCUUUUUAACUAACACUUUUCAGUGAAUUAUUGAUCCCCCGGGUGGGAUUAAAAGAAUAAGUUACCCUAGGGAUAACAGCGUAAUUUUUUUGGAGAGUUCAGAUCGAUAAAAAAGUUUGCGACCUCGAUGUUGGAUUAGGAAUUUAGUUAGGUGCAGAUGUUUAACUGUAGAGUCUGUUCGACUUUUGAAUCCUACG
rnacentral:rRNA from 1 species